UGUGGGGAGAGCGGGGGGGGGAGGAGGUGGUGGCUGGAAAGAUUGGGGACGGGGUUAGAAGGGGCGCGCGCAGCGCCCGUCCCUCCCGUCGGCUGCUGCUCACCCAUUCUCUCCCGGUGUGUCUGUCUCGUCUGCAGCGUUGGAGGUUGGCUCGGGUCCCCGCCCUCUGCGCCCCCCCACGGGAAGGAAACACCCCCCCUCCCCAUACACACAACCCCACCCCCCGGUAUUCAAAAAGAGCGGAGCGGAGCGCCGCGUCCAGUCGCCGGCCGGGGGGCGAGCCGAUGCCGAGGGGCGCCGCCGCGUCCGCCAUG
rnacentral:other from 1 species